GAUGAACGCUGGCGGCGUGCCUAAUACAUGCAAGUCGAGCGAACGGACGAGAAGCUUGCUUCUCUGAUGUUAGCGGCGGACGGGUGAGUAACACGUGGAUAACCUACCUAUAAGACUGGGAUAACUUCGGGAAACCGGAGCUAAUACCGGAUAAUAUUUUGAACCGCAUGGUUCAAAAGUGAAAGACGGUCUUGCUGUCACUUAUAGAUGGAUCCGCGCUGCAUUAGCUAGUUGGUAAGGUAACGGCUUACCAAGGCAACGAUGCAUAGCCGACCUGAGAGGGUGAGCAGCCACACUAGAACUGAGACACGGUCCAGACUCCUACGGGAGGCAGCAGUAGGGAGUCUUCCGCAAUGGGGGAAGGCCUGACGGAGCAACGCCGCGUGAGUGAUGAAGGUCUUCGGAUCGUAAAACUCUGUUAUUAGGGAAGAACAUAUGUGUAAGUAACUGUGCACAUCUUGACGGUACCUAAUCAGAAAGCCACGGCUAACUACGUG
rnacentral:rRNA from 1 species